CGCCGCUGCCCCCGCUUUGUCUGCCAGAAGAGCGGGGCGCGGGCCUCGGGCACCCGGGCACCACCGAGCAGACAAAGGACGCGCCCUGUGUGGCAGAUGCCGGCCCAAGUCGUCUGCUCUAGUGGGCUGCGAAUGCAACCUGGGGCGGGGAAUCCUCUCUCUGGAGCGUCCCCGCCCUCCUGAACAAUGGGGCGCCCGCGCGGCUCCAGCACAAGGGCUUGUGGGGGGAAGAAGGGAUUGAGGCUGUGGCCCCGGGGUGGGCGAGAGAGGCAGCGGCGAGCAUGUAGAGCUCAGCAUUCCCUAUGCUGCCCAAGGGAGCUCUCCCUGCGAGGUCUGCGCUGCCCUUCCAUUUCAGAGAUGAGGAAACUGAGGCCCUUGCUCUGACAGCCCCCCUGACGCAAGACCCAGGUCCACCCCAGGCACCUGCUGUGGAGAGGCUGGACGUGAGAUCUGGAGAGCCGUCAGGAGCAGAAGGUGCAAGCUUGUUGCGUGGGGUAGGCAGAUUGACGUGCACACUUUACUCCAAGCCCUGGGGAGAAUAGGAUUGCACAGGGUUGAACCUUAGCUUUUUGUCUCCCUUGCUGAGUGUUUUUGUGGCCUGGGCGCCGUUUUCUCACCACUAAAUGGGGAUGAUAGGUCGCAUCCCACCCUGCUCACAGGGCUGUUGUGAGGAUUAAGUAGUGUACGUAAAGGGCUCAACCUACUGUCUGGCCCGCUGUUGUAAACCCUCAUUAAUGCUAACCACCCUCUGUGCUCUGUGUCAGGACAAGCCUGGGGUUUGCAAGCAAGUCAGAGGCCUCAGCCCUGCUGUGUCCCCAGAGCCUCUUGCCUGUUGCAAGGAUUGGGGUGGGGCUGAUAGCACAGCUUGACCCUGGAUGACAUUAAACUCGGGAUAAAGCUGGAGAUCAGGCACGCAGCCUUGCACCAUCCACCUAGGAUCGAGCUAGGUCAGGCACUGCUGUCUCGGAGGCUGAGUGGCUUCCCGGGGGGAGGGAAGGAAGGGCGAGGUUGUCAUCUGACAGGUUUAACCCCAGCCUCAUUGCUGGCCCAGUCCUGGCCUCUCCUUUACGAUGCUUGCCUUUGUAUCUGGUUUCGCAUUAAUCAUUAGCCUCCAGCCAGACCAGCAGAAGGAGAUUUGUAUGUGAACUUGUGUAUGUUAAGAAAAGCAUGUAUUCAUUGGCCGACAUGAAAGGUGGGUGGGGAGAGGAUAUGUAUGUGCUUGUAUACCAAAGCAUAAAUACGUUCAUACGUCUGUGUGUAUGAGUAUUAUAUGUAUCUGUGUGAGUCUAAGAACAUGGGCGCCAGUAUCUAUUUUCAUGUGUGUCUUAAUCUGUGCAUGAUUGCUAGUAUGGGUUUUAUGUGUUUCCCGUGUUUUUGCAUUUGUGGUUAUCUCUGGGUGUGUCUUGAUAGGCCUGUCUGUGUCUGUAACAGGGGGCCAAUGAGAAAGGCGUGUAAGUGUUCUGGUUUCAAGACCAAUAUUUAGCAAGCCCUAAACAAGGUUCUGUUUUUACUUCUCUUUAGGAAGGGAGUGGACAUGACAUGCCCCUUUCCUAUGUUUUCUCGAAGACUCUUUUCGGCUCCCAAGCCCAACCAAAAUACCACAUCCUCUAAGAGACUGCUCUGGAUUUCUGAGUGGGAAUUAAUCUCUUCCUCUGCACUUCCCCACUGUCCUUUGUUCAUUCAUUGAUUACAGCCCUGAUCUAUCAAUCUACCUCUCCUCUGUGUCUUCAGAAAUAUAUGCAACAGGAUAAAUUGAACUGCCCACGUUGUUUUAUUACUUCCCCAAAGCAUAUAUCACCUGUCUCUUCCAUCAGGCUGUCUCUCAGUGCCCAGCAGGAGCAAUACAAUGUGAGCCCUGAUCCCUGCUGACUAAAUUUACAAGGGAUCCUGUGGUGCCCACAGGAAGAACUUGUGUCUGAGUCAUAACUGCCAACUGUGUGACCUUAGAGGUCCCUUCUCUUAGGUGGUUUCCCCUCUAAGCCAGGUUCCUCAUCUAUAAAAUGGGGCCAACAAACCUUUUCUCAUGGAAUUGAGCUGAGCAUACAAGAGAACAUUUUUACAGAACCUGACCCUAAGACAGUGCUCAGCCUGUGUAGGCUCAUAUUUCAGUAAUAUCAUUGCCAACCUUGAGCCUUGCUGGCUGAGGGACCAAAUCAGAAACCUCUGCCUCAUAACCUUCCCAUCAGAUGAUCUGCCCUGACAGUUGCCCUACUAAAUAUUUCCAAAUGAUACCUAAAACUGCUAGGUUGGCCUUGAGCUGUGCUGUAUCAGAGAUUCUCUGGCAGUUGGGGAGAAAAGCUGAUGCAGCUUCUUUGCCAGAAGAAUCACAGCAAAGGACUAGAAGACCUUGCUGAGUGAUCCAGGACAGCUCUGCUUCAGGAGCCUGGCUUCCUAUCGGAUGUGGAUGAAUGCAAGGCAAGGUUUGGCAUCUUCUACAGAGAACUCUGGGAUUAUUAGGACUACAUUUAACUGAGUCUGCACAGCAAAGAACAAUGACAGACAACUCACAGAAAGGGAAAUGCAAAUGACUGAGAAGUAUGAAAUGCAUAUGCAGCUAAAGUAAUCAAAGAAUUGCAAAUCAAGACAAUGAGUUGUGUUGUUUUACCUUAUUGAUUUGCAUGGACUCAGACUUCUUUUUAAACUGGUAAGACGUGUCAUUCGCCAGGGAGUGUCUCUCACUUUUGGCAGGAAUAUAAAGGUAGAAAGGAUACAACCUUUCCAGGAAGCCUUAAAAUUGUUGAUACUCCUCUUUGACUCAUAGCGUCCACCUUUAAGCAUCUAAGGGAAAUAAUCAGCUAUACAUAUUUAUGUACAAAAAUGUUCAUGUGAUAUACAAUCAUGAAAAUUUUGAAGUCUAAACAGUUAACAAUAAAAAUUGGGGACUGAAAAGGUAACUCAGUGAUAGAGCACUUGCCUAGCAUGUGUAAGGCCCAGGGUUCAAUUCCCAGUACCACAAAAAGAAAUAAAAAGGAAAGAGGUCUCCUUAGGUACUUGGUAUUUUCUGAUGUUUCUGUGUUGAAAUAUUAUACAUCUAUAGAACAUACUCAUGAAGGAAAGUCUGGUGGUAUAAAAUGAUGAAAAUAUAGUUUAUGUGACUAAUCUAUAAUCCCAAUCAUGUAAAAUAAUAAUGUAGUGUCAAAGAUCAAAUCAAAAUAUUAACAGUGUUUAUUUCUGAGUGACUGCAGUGUGGAUAUUUAAAAUUUUUUCUCCUUCAUUCUUUUCUGCAUUUUCCAAAAUAUUUUUACAGUGAACAUAUACUACUCUCAGAAUUACUAAUAACCAACACUAGAAUUCAUUUGAAUGUAGAGAUGUGUCUGCCAGCCACUCUUUGAUCUACUCCCUGGUAUCUCUUCUUAAAACAAUGAGGGAAAAAAAGACUCAUGUCAAACCAACAUGAAUUGCAAAGCCCUACCUCCAAAUGGUGAAACCAAAUGUUGAAAUCCUCCUUCAAAGUCCCUGUAAUGCUAAAAUAAACUCAGAAAAGCAUUUGUUGCCAUUCUUAGAGAUCUCCUGAAGGACAUCGUUCACAGUGGGCACCAAGUCAAACCCUUGUUCGUCAUCAGCAUUGGCUGCAGAGCAAAGAAUUUGAACCAUUUUGGGGAGGAAUGGGGCCAGAGUUUCACAAAUGACUCUUUCCCUGCGGUUGCUAUAAUUGCAGUAAAGGGGACAGGAUUACUGACAGGUGCACAGCAAACAGUGCUUUCUCAACCAUUAUCUCACUUGAGCACUGCACCAAGCCCAAAAGGAGGGUAGUAACAGUUGUAGUAGUGAUAAUAACAAUACCAACCGUGAAUGAUGUUUACUGAGCACUUAUUAUGUGCCGGGCAUCCAUUCCAAGAACUUCAUAUAUAUUGUCCCCUUCAAUCUUAUACUAUGAAGUAGAAGGAGUGAUUAUCCCCACUUUAUAAGUAAGCAUAUUUUAACUCAAAGUAGUCAAUUAACUUGCCCAAGGUUACUAUGCUGAUAAAUGGAAGAACUUCAGACUUCAGGUCCAGAGUGAUUUCCACAAUAGCUUACUGCACUUUCUCUACUUUUAUUUUAUUGCUGUUACACUUAGGAGAGACAAUAAUUUUUAGCCAUAAAAAGUACUGAGUUGAAUCCUGAUCAUUCUAUAGCUGGGUACCACUGGUUAAGUUACUUUAGCUCUGGGUCUCAGUUCCUCCUCUGUGGAGUGGGGAUCAUUCUAUUUACCAAAUAGGGUUCAAGGUCAAACAAAGUGAUAUAUAUAGAUAGAUAUAUAUAGAUAUAUAUAUAGAUAUAUAUAGCAUUGAACAAAAGCCUGCCCUAUAUAAAAUACUCAAAAGACAUCAGUACAUAUCUGAUUUUCCUAAACCUGUCUUUCCACGGAGUAGGUCAAGACCAAGAGGGUACAGUGUCCAUGGGAUUCCAUGCCCAGAAAUUCUAGACUCUCAGGACAGUCACACCCUUGCCUUCUGUGCUCUCUGCCCCAUGAAAAGCCUCCUUCAUUGGAGUGUAUGCCUGUCUGAGGGCACUGCACUGUCAGGAUGGAGAGAGUGCUUGGCAGGAGGAGACCCUUGACUACCCUUCCUUUGGAGGUUCCCAGAGAAGUACUUGAGCCUUUAGGACUAUGAUGUGCUUUGUUGGGCUAGUUUAAGAAAGCCGUGUCAGUUUCAUGCUGACAUCUGAGGACUAGAUGGUAAGGAAACUCAAUUUUAGAGGAUCAGGUAUUUCUAAAAAGUUCAUAGAAAGAACAAAUAAUAAGAGUGGGAAGGGGACUUAGGCAUCGACCCCUGCAAACAAGUUCUUGCACAGAUGAUAAACCAAGACUGACAAAAAGUAAAAACCUUGACAAGAUCGCAAGAUCGCACAUUGCAAAUUAACAACAAAGCCAGGGUCAGAUCCUAACCCUCUGACUCCCAGGUCACUGUCAGACCCAAACAAACUAUGGUUAACCUAGGAGGCCACUGAGGGCCAGUGCAGGCCUCCAGUCUACCAGUUGGACACUAGGUGGGCUUCCUUACCCUCUGACUUCCAGUCAAGGGCUCUAUGUCACCAGACUCCCUCUCUAGGAGCCUUGCUCUUAAAUCACAGAAAUGGCACCUGCUGCCAGCUUAUUAUCCAUGAACAAGGUAGCACUUUAAUAAUGACAAUAAUCAGGGUCCUCUUAGGCAAUAGUGGGGGAUUUGGGAAUCAUAAAAAUCUUCCAAAUGAGGCCAAUACUGGUGAAGAGAACUAGAAAUAUCUUUCUUGUCCUGUCAUGCCCAAAUUAGAACAACCUCUGAAAGGGGUCCUGGGAGAUCAAGCCUUCUCUCAGAACUGUGGGUCUCAUUUCCUUUCUCAAACAACUACUGCACUGUUCCUCUAGGGUUUAUUGGGUGUGUGCAAUGCCUCAAAUGCAGUCUGGAAUUUGGAAUUGGAUGUAAUCCUUAGGCACAUAUUGGCAGCUCUACCUCUUUAAGAGACAGAAACAUUGAAUCUCUGCCAUCCAGUCCCACAUUGGGAAAUUAAUCUAUGAAUCAACCGGGUUCCCAGCCCGGAGUCUAUCUCCUUUCAACAUGAAAUGUUCUGUUGGGAAAUGUCUAUGAUCUUGUGAAUCCGGCUGGACCACUUCCAGCCUUUUAUAGCAAGAAGCAACCUCUCUAAGCUCUGUUUGGUCACUUGUAAAAUGUGCACCUAAUACUUAACUGUGUUCUAGGAGGAUUCAUUCAUUCAUUCAGGAAAAAUGUAUUAAGCACUGAUCUGCAGAAACUCUACUGAAUGACAGAAGAAAAAGAGCAACCCUGUAUUCAUGGUACUUUCAAUAUAGUAAAUGAAAUGAUUGAUUAAUAGAUGGGUAAGCAGCUAGGAUAUUUAUAGGUUAAAAUAAUUGCCAGAAAGGACACUAAAAGGACAUUCUGUAUUAGGACACAGAAUAACUAAGAGACAUCCCCUUAGGGUGGUCAUGGAAAGCCUCUCUGGAUAUAACAGUGCAGCUGAAGUCAGAAGGAGCCAACUCUACAACAACUAGAAGGAACUGCAGUUGCAAGAUGUGGAGGAGAAAAAGGAGCAGAGAGAAGAUGAGGAUGAGUGAAACAUCCUAAGUGAAGCAGAGAAUUGUAUGUGCUAGAUUCUGCAGUGCUCGGUGCCCAUAUGUUUAAUAACUAAAGUUUAGAGACUGGAACUAGAAAGAUAACUGAGCUAAGAGGACAACCAGUAUUUAAUCCUAGCCCUCCAUAGUCAACAAGGACACAGAACAUGAGGGAACCUUUGUACAAGAUCCUACAACUUUGGAUCUCCAGAGAGACCAGACUCACGGGCCUGCAAGAGACCCCUUCACACCAAAGUCAUGCACAUCAAAUCCUCCUCGCUGAUGCAGACCUCUGUAAACAAUAAGGAAUGCUAUGACAAGCUUAAAGAUGACAACGUUCAGCAAGAUAUGAAAAAGCAUGUAUGAAAGAAUGUUUCCA